rnacentral:rRNA from 1 species
UCUGACGGAGCAACGCCGCGUGAACGAAGAAGGUCUUCGGAUUGUAAAGUUCUGUGAUUCGGGACGAAAGGGUUUGUGGUGAAUAAUCAUAGACAUUGACGGUACCGAAAAAGCAAGCCACGGCAAACUACGUGCCAGCAGCCGCGGUAAUACGUAGGUGGCAAGCGUUGUCCGGAAUUAUUGGGCGUAAAGCGCGCGCAGGCGGUUUCUUAAGUCCAUCUUAAAAGCGUGGGGCUCAACCCCAUGAGGGGAUGGAAACUGGGAAGCUGGAGUAUCGGAGAGGAAAGUGGAAUUCCUAGUGUAGCGGUGAAAUGCGUAGAGAUUAGGAAGAACACCGGUGGCGAAGGCGACUUUCUAGACGAAAACUGACGCUGAGGCGCGAAAGCGUGGGGAGCAAACAGGAUUAGAUACCCUGGUAGUCCACGCCGUAAACGAUGGAUACUAGGUGUAGGAGGUAUCGACCCCUCCUGUGCCGGAGUUAACGCAAUAAGUAUUCCCGCCUGGGGAAGUACGAUCGCCAAGAUUAAAAACUCAAAGGAAUUGACGGGGGCCCGCACAAGCGGUGGAGUAUG